rnacentral:rRNA from 1 species
UAGGGAAUCUUCGGCAAUGGGGGGAACCCUGACCGAGCAACGCCGCGUGAGUGAAGAAGGUGUUCGGAUCGUAAAGCUCUGUUGUUAAGGAAGAAAGAGUGUGAGAAUGGAAAGUUCAUACUGUGACGGUACUUAACCAGAAAGGGACGGCUAAAUACGUGCCAGCAGCCGCGGUAAUACGUAGGGCCCGAGCGUUGUCCGGAUUUAUUGGGCGUAAAGCGAGCGCAGGCGGUUAGAUAAGGCUGAAGUUAAAGGCAGUGGCUCAACCAUUGUAGGCUUUGGAAACUGUUGAACUUGAGUGCAGGAGGGGGGGGUGGAAUUCCAUGUGUAGCGGUGAAAUGCGUAGAUAUGUGGAGGAACAGCGGUGGCGAAAGCGGCUCUCUGGUCGGUAACUGACGCUGAGGCUCGAAAGCGUGGGGAGCGAACAGG